rnacentral:rRNA from 1 species
GGGUUGUGAGGUUAAGCGACUAAGCGUACACGGUGGAUGCCCUGGCAGUCAGAGGCGAUGAAGGACGUGCUAAUCUGCGAUAAGCGUCGGUAAGGUGAUAUGAACCGUUAUAACCGGCGAUUUCCGAAUGGGGAAACCCAGUGUGAUUCGUCACACUAUCAUUAACUGAAUCCAUAGGUUAAUGAGGCGAACCGGGGGAACUGAAACAUCUAAGUACCCCGAGGAAAAGAAAUCAACCGAGAUUCCCCCAGUAGCGGCGAGCGAACGGGGAGCAGCCCAGAGCCUGAAUCAGUAUGUGUGUUAGUGGAAGCGUCUGGAAAGGCGUGCGAUACAGGGUGACAGCCCCGUACACAAAAAUGCACAUACUGUGAGCUCGAUGAGUAGGGCGGGACACGUGGUAUCCUGUCUGAAUAUGGGGGGACCAUCCUCCAAGGCUAAAUACUCCUGACUGACCGAUAGUGAACCAGUACCGUGAGGGAAAGGCGAAAAGAACCCCGGCGAGGGGAGUGAAAAAGAACCUGAAACCGUGUACGUACAAGCAGUGGGAGCACGCUUAGGCGUGUGACUGCGUACCUUUUGUAUAAUGGGUCAGCGACUUAUAUUCUGUAGCAAGGUUAACCGAAUAGGGGAGCCGAAGGGAAACCGAGUCUUAACUGGGCGUUAAGUUGCAGGGUAUAGACCCGAAACCCGGUGAUCUAGCCAUGGGCAGGUUGAAGGUUGGGUAACACUAACUGGAGGACCGAACCGACUAAUGUUGAAAAAUUAGCGGAUGACUUGUGGCUGGGGGUGAAAGGCCAAUCAAACCGGGAGAUAGCUGGUUCUCCCCGAAAGCUAUUUAGGUAGCGCCUCGUGAAUUCAUCUCCGGGGGUAGAGCACUGUUUCGGCAAGGGGGUCAUCCCGACUUACCAACCCGAUGCAAACUGCGAAUACCGGAGAAUGUUAUCACGGGAGACACACGGCGGGUGCUAACGUCCGUCGUGAAGAGGGAAACAACCCAGACCGCCAGCUAAGGUCCCAAAGUCAUGGUUAAGUGGGAAACGAUGUGGGAAGGCCCAGACAGCCAGGAUGUUGGCUUAGAAGCAGCCAUCAUUUAAAGAAAGCGUAAUAGCUCACUGGUCGAGUCGGCCUGCGCGGAAGAUGUAACGGGGCUAAACCAUGCACCGAAGCUGCGGCAGCGACGCUGAUGCGUUGUUGGGUAGGGGAGCGUUCUGUAAGCCUGCGAAGGUGUGCUGUGAGGCAUGCUGGAGGUAUCAGAAGUGCGAAUGCUGACAUAAGUAACGAUAAAGCGGGUGAAAAGCCCGCUCGCCGGAAGACCAAGGGUUCCUGUCCAACGUUAAUCGGGGCAGGGUGAGUCGACCCCUAAGGCGAGGCCGAAAGGCGUAGUCGAUGGGAAACAGGUUAAUAUUCCUGUACUUGGUGUUACUGCGAAGGGGGGACGGAGAAGGCUAUGUUGGCCGGGCGACGGUUGUCCCGGUUUAAGCGUGUAGGCUGGUUUUCCAGGCAAAUCCGGAAAAUCAAGGCUGAGGCGUGAUGACGAGGCACUACGGUGCUGAAGCAACAAAUGCCCUGCUUCCAGGAAAAGCCUCUAAGCAUCAGGUAACAUCAAAUCGUACCCCAAACCGACACAGGUGGUCAGGUAGAGAAUACCAAGGCGCUUGAGAGAACUCGGGUGAAGGAACUAGGCAAAAUGGUGCCGUAACUUCGGGAGAAGGCACGCUGAUAUGUAGGUGAAGCGACUUGCUCGUGGAGCUGAAAUCAGUCGAAGAUACCAGCUGGCUGCAACUGUUUAUUAAAAACACAGCACUGUGCAAACACGAAAGUGGACGUAUACGGUGUGACGCCUGCCCGGUGCCGGAAGGUUAAUUGAUGGGGUCAGCGCAAGCGAAGCUCUUGAUCGAAGCCCCGGUAAACGGCGGCCGUAACUAUAACGGUCCUAAGGUAGCGAAAUUCCUUGUCGGGUAAGUUCCGACCUGCACGAAUGGCGUAAUGAUGGCCAGGCUGUCUCCACCCGAGACUCAGUGAAAUUGAACUCGCUGUGAAGAUGCAGUGUACCCGCGGCAAGACGGAAAGACCCCGUGAACCUUUACUAUAGCUUGACACUGAACAUUGAGCCUUGAUGUGUAGGAUAGGUGGGAGGCUUUGAAGUGUGGACGCCAGUCUGCAUGGAGCCGACCUUGAAAUACCACCCUUUAAUGUUUGAUGUUCUAACGUGGACCCGUAAUCCGGGUUGCGGACAGUGUCUGGUGGGUAGUUUGACUGGGGCGGUCUCCUCCUAAAGAGUAACGGAGGAGCACGAAGGUUGGCUAAUCCUGGUCGGACAUCAGGAGGUUAGUGCAAUGGCAUAAGCCAGCUUGACUGCGAGCGUGACGGCGCGAGCAGGUGCGAAAGCAGGUCAUAGUGAUCCGGUGGUUCUGAAUGGAAGGGCCAUCGCUCAACGGAUAAAAGGUACUCCGGGGAUAACAGGCUGAUACCGCCCAAGAGUUCAUAUCGACGGCGGUGUUUGGCACCUCGAUGUCGGCUCAUCACAUCCUGGGGCUGAAGUAGGUCCCAAGGGUAUGGCUGUUCGCCAUUUAAAGUGGUACGCGAGCUGGGUUUAGAACGUCGUGAGACAGUUCGGUCCCUAUCUGCCGUGGGCGCUGGAGAACUGAGGGGGGCUGCUCCUAGUACGAGAGGACCGGAGUGGACGCAUCACUGGUGUUCGGGUUGUCAUGCCAAUGGCACUGCCCGGUAGCUAAAUGCGGAAGAGAUAAGUGCUGAAAGCAUCUAAGCACGAAACUUGCCCCGAGAUGAGUUCUCCCUGACUCCUUGAGAGUCCUGAAGGAACGUUGAAGACGACGACGUUGAUAGGCCGGGUGUGUAAGCGCAGCGAUGCGUUGAGCUAACCGGUACUAAUGAACCGUGAGGCUUAACCUUACAACGCCGAAGGUGUUU